UACGUAGGGCGCAAGCGUUGUCCGGAAUUAUUGGGCGUAAGGAGCUCGUAGGCGGCCUGUUGCGUCCGCUGUGAAAGCCCGGGGCUUAACCCCGGGUCGGCAGUGGAUACGGGCAGGCUAGAGGUAGGUAGGGGAGAAUGGAAUUCCCGGUGUAGCGGUGAAAUGCGCAGAUAUCGGGAGGAACACCGGUGGCGAAGGCGGUUCUCUGGGCCUUACCUGACGCUGAGGAGCGAAAGCGUGGGGAGCGAACAGG
rnacentral:rRNA from 1 species